rnacentral:rRNA from 1 species
UUUAAUUGAAGAGUUUGAUCAUGGCUCAGAUUGAACGCUGGCGGCAGGCCUAACACAUGCAAGUCGAACGGUAACAGGAAGCAGCU